rnacentral:rRNA from 1 species
UACAGAGGUCUCAAGCGUUGUUCGGAUUCAUUGGGCGUAAAGGGUGUGUAGGUGGCGCGCUAAGUCGGGGUGUGAAAUUUCGGAGCUUAACUCCGAAACUGCAUUCGAUACUGGCGUGCUUGAGGACUGGAGAGGAGACUGGAAUUCAUGGUGUAGCAGUGAAAUGCGUAGAGAUCAUGAGGAAGACCAGUGGCGAAGGCGGGUCUCUGGACAGUUCCUGACGCUGAGGCACGAAGGUCAGGGGAGCAAACGGG